UUCUGAAUAAAUUAAUUUUUCUUAGGGUGAACUGUUACCUAGCAGUUGGUCCACAAACGCCAUUUGGAGGAUUCAAAAUGUCUGGUCAAGGUCGUGAGUUUGGAGAAGAUGCUCUUCAUGAAUAUACGGAAAUUAAAACUGUUACAAUGCACAUUCCACAAAAGAACUCCUAGGUGUCUAUCUUCAGUUUCACAUACUUGAAUUUUUGGAUAAUGUAUUGCACAGUUUUUCAGCGAUACCAAAUGUAUUUUCAGUAUGGUUGCAUCUUUAAUAUAGUGGGGCUUUGUUGGUCAUUAAUAAAAUUUGGAACUUGUUGAAAUCAUAA